rnacentral:rRNA from 1 species
GACGAACGCUGGCGGCGUGCCUAAUACAUGCCAGUUGAGCGCUGAAGGUUGGUACUUGUACCAACUGGAUGAGCAGCGAACGGGUGAGUAACGCGUGGGGAAUCUGCCUUUGAGCGGGGGACAACAUUUGGAAACGAAUGCUAAUACCGCAUAAAAACUUUAAACACAAGUUUUAAGUUUGAAAGAUGCAAUUGCAUCACUCAAAGAUGAUCCCGCGUUGUAUUAGCUAGUUGGUGAGGUAAAGGCUCACCAAGGCGAUGAUACAUAGCCGACCUGAGAGGGUGAUCGGCCACAUUGGGACUGAGACACGGCCCAAACUCCUACGGGAGGCAGCAGUAGGGAAUCUUCGGCAAUGGACGAAAGUCUGACCGAGCAACGCCGCGGGAGUGAAGAAGGUUUUCGGAUCGUAAAACUCUGUUGGUAGAGAAGAACGUUGGUGAGAGUGGAAAGCUCAUCAAGUGACGGUAACUACACAGAAAGGGACGGCUAACUACGUG